rnacentral:rRNA from 1 species
AUUGAACGCUGGCGGCAGGCCUAACACAUGCAAGUCGAACGAGUGGCGGACGGGAGAGAAAUGUCUGGGAAACUGCCUGAUGGAGGGGGAUAACAACUGGAAACGGUAGCUAAUAACGAAUAGCAUCGGAUGUGCCAAGAUGGGACUAGCUAGUAGGGGGGGGAAAGGCUCACCUAGGCGCCGAUCCCUAGCUGGUCUGAGAGGAUGACCAGACACACUGGAACUGAGACACGGGCCAGACUCCUACGGGAGGCAGCAGUGGGGAAUAUUGCACAAUGGGCGCAAGCCUGAUGCAGCCAUGCCGCGUGUAUGAAGAAGGCCUUCGGGUUGUAAAGUACUUUCAGCGGGGAGGCGUUACCCGCAGAAGAAGCACCGGCUAACUCCGUGCCAGCAGCCGCGGUAAUUC